rnacentral:rRNA from 1 species
AUUGAACGCUGGCGGCAGGCCUAACACAUGCAAGUCGAACGAGUGGCGGACGGGUGAGUGAUGUCUGGGAAACUGCCCGAUGGAGGGGGAUAACUACUGGAAACGGUAGCUAAUACCGCAUACCAUCGGAUGUGCCCAGAUGGGAUUAGCUAGUAGGUGGGGUAAUGGCUCACCUAGGCGACGAUCCCUAACUGGUCUGAGAGGAUGACCAGCCAGACGGGAAACGAGACACGGUCCAGAAUACUACGGGAGGCAGCAGUGGGGAAAAUUGCACAAUGGGUGCAAGCCGGAUGCAGCAAUGCCGCGUGUAUGAAGAAGGCCUUCGGGUUGUAAAGUACUUUCAGCGAGGAGGCGUUACUCGCAGAAGAAGCACCGGCGAACUCCGUGCCAGCAGCCGCGGUAAUUC